rnacentral:rRNA from 1 species
GACGAACGCUGGCGGCGUGCUUAACACAUGCAAGUCAAGGACCGUAGCAAUACGGGACUGGCGCACGGGUGCGGAACACGUAGGUAAUCUACCCUUUAGGGGAGAACAACUCGUCGAAAGACGAGCUAAAACUCCGUAACAUGAGAGAGCGGCAUCGCUUUUUCAUCAAGCUUUCUAAGGGAUGAGCCUGCGCCUGAUUAGCUAGUUGGUAGGGUAACGGCCUACCAAGGCUACGAUCAGUAGCUGGUCUGAGAGGAUGAUCAGCCACAU